UCGGGCAGCUACACAUGCAAGUCGAGCGGAAACGAUGGAGCUUGCUCCAGGCGUCGAGCGGCGGACGGGUGAGUAAUGCAUAGGAAUCUGCCCGGUAGUGGGGGAUAACCUGGGGAAACUCAGGCUAAUACCGCAUACGCCCUACGGGGGAAAGCAGGGGCUCUUCGGACCUUGCGCUAUCGGAUGAGCCUAUGUCGGAUUAGCUAGUUGGUGAGGUAAUGGCUCACCAAGGCGACGAUCCGUAGCUGGUCUGAGAGGAUGAUCAGCCACAUCGGGACUGAGACACGGCCCGAACUCCUACGGGAGGCAGCAGUGGGGAAUAUUGGACAAUGGGCGAAAGCCUGAUCCAGCCAUGCCGCGUGUGUGAAGAAGGCUUUCGGGUUGUAAAGCACUUUCAGUGAGGAAGAACGCCUUGGGGCUAAUACCCCCGAGGGAAGACAUCACUCACAGAAGAAGCACCGGCUAACUCCGUGCCAGCAGCCGCGGUAAUACGGAGGGUGCAAGCGUUAAUCGGAAUUACUGGGCGUAAAGCGCGCGUAGGCGGCGUGAUAAGCCGGUUGUGAAAGCCCCGGGCUCAACCUGGGAACGGCAUCCGGAACUGUCAGGC
rnacentral:rRNA from 1 species